rnacentral:rRNA from 1 species
GAAACGACUGCUAAGACUGGAUAGGAAACAAAAAGGCAUCUUUUUGUUUUUAAAAGACCUUCUUACGAAGGUAUGCUUGAAGAGGGGCUUGCGCCACAUUAGUUAGUUGGUAGAGUAAAAGCCUACCAAGACGAUGAUGUGUAGCUGGACUGAGAGGUUGAACAGCCACAUUGGGACUGGGACACGGCCCAAACUCCUACGGAAGGCAGCAGUAGGGAAUUUUCGGCAAUGGAGGAAACUCUGACCGAGCAACGCCGCGUGAACGAUGAAGUAUUUCGGUAUGUAAAGUUCUUUUAUUGAAGAAGAAAAAGUAGUGGAAAAACUAUAUUACGUUAUUCAAUGAAUAAGCCCCGGCUAACUAUGUGCCAGCAGCCGCGGUAAGACAUAGGGGGCGAGCGAUAUCCGGAAUUAUUGGGCGUAAAGGGUGCGUAGGCUGUUAGAUAAGUCUAUAAUUUAAUUUCAGUGCUUAACGCUGUCUUGUUAUAGAAACUGUCUGGACUAGAGUGAGAUAGAGGCAAGCGGAAUUCCAUGUGUAGCGGUAAAAUGUGUAAAUAUAUGGAGGAACACCAGAAGCGUAGGCGGCUUGCUGGGUCUUUACUGACGCUGGGGCACGAAAGCGUGGGUAGCAAACAGGAUUAGAUACCCUGGUAGUCCACACCGUAAACGAUGAGUACUAAGUGUCGGGGUAAAACUCGGUACUGAAGUUAACACAUUAAGUACUCCGCCUGAGAAGUACGUACGCAAGUAUGAAACUUAAAGGAAUUGACGGGACUCCGCACAAGCGGUGGAUCAUGUUGUUUAAUUUGAAGAUACACGAAAAAUCUUACCAGGUCUUGACAUACUCUGCAAAGCUAUAGAAAUAUAGUGGAGGUUAUCAGGGAUACAGGUGGUGCAUGGUUGUCGUCAGUUCGUGUCGUGAGAUGUUAGGUUAAGUCCUAAAACGAACGCAGCCCUUGUCGUUAAAUGCCAGCACAUAAUGGUGGGGACUUUAACGAGACUGCCAAUUAAACAUUGGAGGAAGGUGAGGAUUACGUCAAAUCAUCAUGCCCCUUAUGAUCUGGGCUACAAACGUGAUACAAUGGCUGUGACAAAGAGUAGCUGAAACGCGAGUUUUUAGCCAAUCUCAAAAAGCAGUCUCAGUUCGGAUUGAAGUCUGUAACUCGACUUCAUGAAGUUGGAAUCGCUAGUAAUCGCGAAUCAGCAUGUCGCGGUGAGUACGUUGACGGGGUUUGUACACACCGCCCGUCA